rnacentral:lncRNA from 1 species
AUGGCGAUGAGCAUCUGUCACACGGCGAGCCGCGGGCGGGCUGCCCUCGCUCGGGGGGCGCCGGGGCCCCCGGGCGCGCGGAGGCGGAGGCGAGCGGCGGGCGCCCCGGCCGGCCCCGCGCUUCCCGCCCGGCGCGGCCGCCUCCGCCGCGCCACCGAUUUACAGAGAGAGAUAUCAAGGGGGAAAAUGGCGUCUCCGGAGCCCGAGGAGUCCUGGAGUAAUCACAUUCACACACACACACACACACACACACACACACACACACACACACACACACGCCCGCACGCACACACUCGCACACCGCGCGCCGCGGGCCCGGCUAAUUUUAGCAGGAACCCCCCUCCCAAAUUAUAUAUAUAUCCCAGUCUAUCCAAUCAAUGCUAUUUUUUUUUUUUUUUUCCUUUUCUUCAAAGGAUGGAUUGGAGCCUUAAAAAAAAAUGUUGCCGGGUUCGGGCUCGCAGGAGGCAGCGCGCGAAGGGCGAGGGCGCUUUUGCUGAGCUGUGCAGUUCGGUCCGCGGCGCCGGGCGGCCCAGCCCGCCCGCUCGUCUGCCCGCGGUCGCUAGUGCUGCCACCGCCGCCGCCGCCGCCGCUCCAUGGCCGCGCCCGCCCCGCGCCCCCGCCGCGUCCCCUCGCCACCCGCCCGCGUCCCCGGCGAGCGCUGGAGUGGGGUCGGGCCCGAGUGGCUGCCUCCCGCGCCCUCUCUCGAGUCCCGGAGUCCUAGUGAAAGGAAGGGGGAGGGCGCGGGCGGGGGAGGGGGAGGAUCGCAGCGGCCUCGCGGCAGAGCCCAGCGGGGACCGCCACCCCGCGAUCUGCCUCGGCAGGGGUGCGGGCACCCCACACCAGCGCUUGCCCAGCCGACCGGGGGGCCGCUUCCCCGACUUGAGCCCGGGGGAGGCACAGCCAGGAACCUGCGAGCGACCUCUCUCCCUUCACCCUCCCUCAGUGAAUUUCUGUGGAUUUCGAUCCAUGGGAGGGAGUGGGGCUCGGGCCGGGGGUGAAGGAAAACAGUUCGUGGAGGCGGAUCGGAGACCCCUCGCCGCCCUCGCGCCCCUCCCGCUCCCCGGCGCCCUCGCGGCCCAGUGGCGCUGCGCGCCCGAGUCCGCGGCGGAGACUGGGCGGCCGCGGGGACUGCCGCGGGCUCGGCUCCGGGGCUCAACACUGCCACUGUCUGACACAACAGCAGCAGUGUCGGGGGAGCUGCGCGGCCGGGGCGCGAGAUGCGGUAGGCUCUGA